AGUGAACGCUGGCGGUAGGCCUAACACAUGCAAGUCGAACGGCAGCACAGUAAGAGCUUGCUCUUACGGGUGGCGAGUGGCGGACGGGUGAGGAAUACAUCGGAAUCUACUUUUUCGUGGGGGAUAACGUAGGGAAACUUACGCUAAUACCGCAUACGACCUACGGGUGAAAGCAGGGGAUCUUCGGACCUUGCGCGAUUGAAUGAGCCGAUGUCGGAUUAGCUAGUUGGCGGGGUAAAGGCCCACCAAGGCGACGAUCCGUAGCUGGUCUGAGAGGAUGAUCAGCCACAGUGGAACUGAGACACGGUCCAGACUCCUACGGGAGGCAGCAGUGGGGUAUAUGGGAAAAUGGGCGCAAGUCUGAUCCAGCCAUACCGCGUGGGUGAAGAAGGCCUUCGGGUUGUAAAGCCCUUUUGUUGAAAGAAAAGCAGCAGGUUAAUACCCCGCUGUUCUGACGGUACCCAAAGAAUAAGCACCGGCUAACUUCGUG
rnacentral:rRNA from 1 species